rnacentral:rRNA from 1 species
UACGUAGGGGGGCAAGCGUUGUCCGGAAUCAUUGGGCGUAAAGCGCGUGUAGGCGGCCACGUAAGUCCGCUCUGAAAGCCCGGGGCUCAACCCCGGGAGGCGGGUGGAUACUGCGUGGCUCGAGUCCGGAAGAGGCGAGUGGAAUUCCCGGUGUAGCGGUGAAAUGCGCAGAUAUCGGGAGGAACACCAAUGGCGAAGGCAGCUCGCUGGGACGUGACUG